AGAGUUUGAUCCUGGCUCAGAAUGAACGCUGGCGGCAGGCCUAAAACAUGCAAGUCGAACGCUCUAGCAAUAGGGAGUGGCGCACGGGUGAGUAACAUGUGGGAAUAUGCCUUUUGGUACGGAACAACUUUUGGAAACGAAAGCUAAUACCGUAUGGUCCCUUCGGGGUAAAGAUUUAUCGCCAAAAGAGUAGCCCGCACUGGAUUAGCUAGUUGGUAAGGUAAUGGCUUACCAAAGCGACGAUCCAUAGCUGGUCUGAGAGGACGAUCAGCCACACUGGGACUGAGACACGGCCCAGACUCCUACGGGAGGCAGCAGUUAGGAAUCUUGGACAAUGGGCGCAAGCCUGAUCCAGCCAUGCCGCGUGAGUGAUGAAGGCCUUCGGGUUGUAAAGCUCUUUAGUCCACGAAUAUAAUGACUGUAGUGGAAGAAUAAGCCCCGGCUAACUUCGUGCCAGCAGCCGCGGUAAUACGAAGGGGGCGAGCGUUGUUCGGAAUCACUGGGCGUAAAGAGUGCGUAGGCGGUUAUGAAAGUUAGAAGUGAAAGCCCAGGGCUUAACCUUGGAAUUGCUUUUAAAACUACAUAACUCGAAUUCGGGAGAGGAUAGCGGAAUUGUCAGUGUAGCAGUGAAAUGCGUAGAUAUUGACAGGAACACCAGUGGCGUAAGCGGCUAUCUGGACCGACAUUGACGCUGAGGCACGAAAGCGUGGGGAUCAAACAGGAUUAGAUACCCUGGUAGUCC
rnacentral:rRNA from 1 species